AAAGGUGAAAUUGUGAAAAGAAACAAGAACAAUAAGUCACCUUUGAAAUUAUGGAGCUAGUAAAAAGAAAAACAAAAAGAGAGCUCAUGGUUGUGUUGUUGUUGAAAAAUAAGAAAAGAAGAAAAAUUGGGAUCAAAAAUAGAAUUUGUUGUUCAGUUUGAAUUUAUGGGAAUGCUCCCUUGGGAUAGGCAUUUUUGUUUGAAUUCCCUUAAUCAUACCCUUUCUUU
rnacentral:lncRNA from 1 species